rnacentral:rRNA from 1 species
UACGUAGGUGGCAAGCGUUGUCCGGAUUUAUUGGGUUAAAGGGUGCGUAGGCGGUUCUAUAAGUCAGUGGUGAAAUCCGGCAGCUCAACUGUCGAUGUGCCAUUGAUACUGCAGAACUUGAGUACAGACGAGGUAGGCGGAAUUGACGGUGUAGCGGUGAAAUGCUUAGAUAUCGUCAAGAACACCGAUAGCGAAGGCAGCUUACUAGACUGUAACUGACGCUGAUGCACGAAAGUGUGGGAAUCAAACAGG